rnacentral:rRNA from 1 species
ACGUUCGGAUUGCAGCCUGCAACUCGGCUGCAUGAAGCUGGAAUCGCUAGUAAUCGCGGAUCAGAACGCCGCGGUGAAUACGUUCCCGGGUCUUGUACACACCGCCCGUCACACCAUGGGAGCCGGAAACGCCCGAAGCCAGCGGCCCAACCGCAAGGGGGGAGCUGUCGAAGGCGGGGCCGGUGACCGGGGUGAAGUCGUAACAAGGUACC